rnacentral:lncRNA from 1 species
AUCGGAGCUUCUUUGGCCCCUAGGUCCUUGGCAGUGGUGGCUGUGGACAGGAUCGUGCCCUGCUUGCUUAACUUGCUGUCUUUAUUUCUGCAAACAGAUUAGCAUAAUUCCAGGGUGGCCAAAAUGAAGUCACACGGAGUUAGUCAAAGCACAAAGUCACGAUCCUGAGGAGGAGGGAGGCCUGGCUGUAGAGCCAGCCAAUGUGUGGCUGCCCAAGCCCACAGCCUCCUCCAGGGCAAGGACAGGUGUCUGCCCAGAGCAUCUGCCCAGGAGGGAGAGGUUGGGGCUCUUGAAAUUUACUCUAAUUGGAUGUCUGCAGAGCUCCACAGAGGUCAGAACAGGUGAGCAGCUACUUUUACAAGGACAAGAGGACCUGAGGCUUGUGGUAAGCAUGGCUGCCAUCGGGAAGCUGCUGUCCUCCCUGGUAGCAGAUGGAAUGCCAUACCCUUCAUCUGCACCAGGCCUUGGCUGAGCAUCCUGCCGAGGCAGCCCUUUGGCUCUCAGAGGCCAAGAAAGGUGGAACUCAGGGGCCUUUCUCCCUUCUCUCACAAAGUGGGGAUCCCACCAGCUUGUCUUAACAUCUGGCUCUCAGAGAAGCCCGUGGUCAGGACCUGGUGGAGGACAGAAAGUGGGGCACAGGCUGUGGCAAAGUUUAGGUGUGUGUGGAAAAGAAGGUGGGGAGCAUCGUGGACCAAGCCUCACCUCAGGCCCAGCCACCUGAGCCCACCCUUCUCGUCCCCAGAUGUCUCCCUCCCAAAACAAUACCUCUAAUGUCCCAGGGAGGUCACUGACUGCACACAGCCACCAUGCAGCCAGCCAGGCUCCCGAAACCCCCUCUCCCCCACGCUCAGAGGAGACUCGAAUGUCAGGUGACGGUUUUAUCAUUUCAGAACUAGCCCAGCCCAUCUCUAAUUAUAAAACAUCUUUUUCCUUUUUUUUUUUUUCUCUCUUCACUUAUGCUCACAACCACGUGUCUGACGAGGCCUGGAACAGCGCUACAAUGAACACAUAAAAUUUAGCAAUU